rnacentral:rRNA from 1 species
CUUGGUCAUUUAGAGGAAGUAAAAGUCGUAACAAGGUUUCCGUAGGUGAACCUGCGGAAGGAUCAUUAUCGAAAUAAACCUGAUGGGUUGUUGCUGGCUGAAAAGCAUGUGCACGCCUUGUCAUCUUUAUGUCUCCACCUGUGCACCUUUUGUAGACCCAGUCUAUGUUGAUUUAUCAUUUACCCUAUAUAAUGUCAAUAGAAUGUUGUGAUAAAAUCUAUACAACUUUCAGCAACGGAUCUUUGGCUCUGCAUCGAUGAAGAACGCAGCGAAAUGCGAUAAGUAAUGUGAAUUGCAGAAUUCAGUGAAUCAUCGAAUCUUUGAACGCACCUUGCGCUCCUUGGUAUUCCGAGGAGCAUGCCUGUUGAGUGUCAUUAAUAUUAUAUAUCAACCCAUCUAGUGGUUUGGAUGUGGGGGUUUGCUGGCCUCUGGGUCAGCUCCCCUGAAAUGCAUUAGCAGAACAACCUGUUUGGUGUGAUAACUAUUCUACGCUAUGAAGACAGGUCAGCUUUCCGACCGUCGUUCUUUUUGUUAAUGUGACCUCAAAUCAGGUAGGACUACCCGCUGAACUUAAGCAUAUCAAUAAG